CAGAGGGGGCAAGCGUUGCUCGGAAUCACUGGGCGUAAAGGGCGCGUAGGCGGGAUGGCAAGUCGGUCGUGAAAUCCCUCGGCUCAACCGAGGAGCGUCGGCCGAUACUGCCGUUCUUGAGGGAUGCAGAGGAGACUGGAAUUCCCGGUGUAGCGGUGAAAUGUGUAGAGAUCGGGAGGAACACCGGUGGCGAAGGCGGGUCUCUGGGCAUCUCCUGACGCUGAGGCGCGAAAGCGUGGGGAGCAAACGGGAUUAGAUACCCCGGUAGUCCACGCUGUAAACGAUGACGACUAGGUGUGGGGUGGUUCAGUCCAUUCCGUGCCGCAGCUAACGCAUUAAGUCGUCCGCCUGGGGAGUACGGCCGCAAGGUUG
rnacentral:rRNA from 1 species